UUGACCUCAAAUCAGUUG
rnacentral:rRNA from 1 species